GGAAGACCUACUGGUAGUGCUACAGCAAAAGGGAAAGUGGGGAUCAACAUUCCACGUACAGUUAAACGCAAGGUCACAAGUAGUCGUGCUAAGAUUCAUGAAAAUGAAUCUGAUGAAAGUGCUACUUCAUGUGAGCAUCUUCGUAAUGACGAGGGUGAAGCGGCUGUUGGGAGCUAUGAAACUACUGCAGUACGUAGCUCAGGAGUUCAGAAUGAGGAUGUACAGGAUCUGGAAUUGUCAGAAGAUGGUAAAACACUUCCACCAGGGACUGCUGAAUGCAGUGUGAUCAA
rnacentral:misc_RNA from 1 species